rnacentral:misc_RNA from 1 species
GUAUAAAUUAUAUAGGCACAACAUUCUAUUAACAUACAUUGGGGUAAAAAUGAAGCAACAUAGACCUGAAAGGUCUACAAAAAGUGCACAGGUGGAGAUAUAAAGAUGACAAGGCGUGCACAUGCUCCCUAGAGAGCCAGCAACAACCCAUCAGGUUUAUUUCAAUAAUGAUCCUUCCGCAGGUUCACCUACGGAAA